rnacentral:miRNA from 1 species
GGUGUGGCUUUAUUGGAGGAAAUGUAUCACUGGGGAUGGGCUUUGAGGUCUCAGAAGCUCAAGUCAGGCCUAGUGGCUCAAUUCUCUUCCUGCUGCCUGCUUAUCC